rnacentral:rRNA from 1 species
GAUGAACGCUGGCGGCGUGCUUAACACAUGCAAGUCGAACGAAGCACUUCAUAAAGUUUACUUUAAGAAGUGACUUAGUGGCGGACGGGUGAGUAACGCGUGGGUAACCUGCCUUACACAGGGGGAUGACAGUUAGAAAUGACUGCUAAUACCGCAUAAAACAGCAGAGCCGCAUGACUCAACUGUCAAAGAUUUAUCGGUGUAAGAUGGACCCGCGUCUGAUUAGCUGGUUGGUGGGGUAACGGCCUACCAAGGCGACGAUCAGUAGCCGGCCUGAGAGGGUGAACGGCCACAUUGGGACUGAGACACGGCCCAAACUCCUACGGGAGGCAGCAGUGGGGAAUAUUGGACAAUGGGCGAAAGCCUGAUCCAGCGACGCCGCGUGAGCGAUGAAGUAUUUCGGUAUGUAAAGCUCUAUCAGCAGGGAAGAAAACGACGGUACCUGACUAAGA